rnacentral:rRNA from 1 species
CCUACGGGAGGCAGCAGUGGGGAAUAUUGCGCAAUGGGCGAAAGCCUGACGCAGCGACGCCGCGUGAGGGAUGAAGGUCUUCGGAUCGUAAACCUCUGUCGGCAGGGAAGAACGGUCACUGUGCUAAUCAGCAGUGCAUUGACGGUACCUGCAAAGGAAGCACCGGCUAACUCCGUGCCAGCAGCCGCGGUAAUACGGAGGGUGCGAGCGUUAAUCGGAAUUACUGGGCGUAAAGGGCGCGUAGGCGGUAUGUCAAGUCAAGUGUGAAAUCCCCGGGCUCAACGUGGGAACUGCCUUUGAAACUGGGAAACUGGAGUGUGUGAGAGGAGAGUGGAAUUCCAGGUGUAGGAGUGAAAUCCGUAGAGAUCUGGAGGAACAUCAGUGGCGAAGGCGACUAUCUGGAACAUAACUGACGCUGAGGAGCGAAAGCGUGGGUAGCAAACAGGAUUAGAUACCCGGGUAGUC